AGCAGGGUGGCGCAGUGGAAGCGUGCUGGGCCCAUAACCCAGAGGUCAAUGGAUCAAAACCAUUUCUUGCUA
rnacentral:tRNA from 1 species